ACACAUGCAAGUCGAGCGCGCCUUUCGGGGUGAGCGGCGGACGGGUUAGUAACGCGUGGGAAUAUACCCUUUUCUACGGAAUAGCCUCUGGAAACGGAGAGUAAUACCGUAUGAGCCCUUUGGGGGAAAGAUUUAUCGGGAAAGGAUUAGCCCGCGUUAGAUUAGGUAGUUGGUGGGGUAAUGGCCUACCAAGCCUACGAUCUAUAGCUGGUUUUAGAGGAUGAUCAGCAACACUGGGACUGAGACACGGCCCAGACUCCUACGGGAGGCAGCAGUGGGGAAUCUUGGACAAUGGGGGCAACCCUGAUCCAGCCAUGCCGCGUGAGUGAUGAAGGCCUUAGGGUCGUAAAGCUCUUUCGCCUGUGAAGAUAAUGACGGUAGCAGGUAAAGAAACCCCGGCUAACUCCGUGCCAGCAGCCGCGGUAAUACGGAGGGGGUUAGCGUUGUUCGGAAUUACUGGGCGUAAAGCGCACGUAGGCGGAUCGGAAAGUUGGGGGUGAAAUCCCGGGGCUCAACCCCGGAACUGCCUCCAAAACUAUCGGUCUAGAGUUCGAGAGAGGUGAGUGGAAUUCCGAGUGUAGAGGUGAAAUUCGUAGAUAUUCGGAGGAACACCAGUGGCGAAGGCGGCUCACUGGCUCGAUACUGACGCUGAGGUGCG
rnacentral:rRNA from 1 species